UACGAAGGGGGCUAGCGUUGUCCGGAAUCAUUGGGCGUAAAGCGCGCGUAGGUGGCCCGGUAAGUCCGCUCUGAAAGUCACAGGCUCAACCUGUGAAAGCGGGUGGAUACUGCCGGGCUAGAGUCCGGAAGAGGCGAGUGGAAUUCCUGGUGUAGCGGUGGAAUGCGCAGAUAUCAGGAGGAACACCAACGGCGAAGGCAGCUCGCUGGGACGGUACUGACACUGAGGCGCGAAAGCGUGGGGAGCGAACAGG
rnacentral:rRNA from 1 species